GUGCUGAAACCUCGAGCGGCUCGUCAUCCACCACCACCAUGUAAGGGCCAUGAAAAGGGCUCGUCCUGGCGCAGCGCGGACAUGGAGGAGGACUUAUUCCAGCUAAGGCAGCUGCCAGGAGAGAAUUAGGCCUGGAGGAGACAAGCCAUAUUCCUACCCCACCAGCUCACCCUCUGUAUCUCUGACUCAGUUCGAUUUUUCAGAUCCGUCAGAAUUUUAUGGAGACCUACAUGUGUUAUGUUUUUCCUUUGAAUUGCUCUCGAUCCUAAAGGGAUUUAGAGAUCUGUGUUUUAAGAAAACAUUAGCUGCUGUUUUGAAAUGUGGACUGAAUUGAUGAGUCCAUGCAAUGACAUGGGUCCUUUCCAGCCCUCCUUCUAUGCUGUGAAAUUCUUAAUGUUUCUGCAAGGUCUUUUAGAAGGGAAUGAGAGUAAUAUUGCAAACUGGUUUCUAAAGAGCGGGGAUUCCUUCCUAGAGAGGAGUCUUUGGCAAAGUCUUGUUUAUGAAGUGUGUGAAUGAGAGGGCUGCACAUCCUUGCUGAAACCUCUUGCCUUCUCCUGAAUGAAAGGCUUUGUAACAGCUGGCUGGAGUGAGACUCACUGUCAAGGGCUAUCCUUGGGAACUCAGAAAUACACUGCUUAGAAGCUUGGAAUUUUUCAGGGAUGCCAAAUUUGCUCUGGCAAUUUUGAGGGAAUCAAGCAGUGGAAAGGACAGGGGCCUUGUAGAGGGCUUACGAAUUUCUCUUACCGUAAGCUGAUGGUGAUUUGUUAAUAAGCAAAUUCCAAGAGUAUGAUAGGGCAUUAAAAAAAACAUUAACAGGGGUUUCCUUUUCAUUUUAAUAGGCACUAGCCAUUUGGCAAAAUGGUAAAAGUGAUUCAAUUUGGAAUUGUUGGAAAGGGUACAUUAUUGUUAGUAUGUAUGUAUUUUCUUGACUCAAUAUCUUUUUCUCUCUAAGCCACUAAGGAAUUCUCCCAAGUGACUUUUAGUGUGACUGAUACAGCUCUCUGAGGUGCUAAGCAAUGGAGGGUAUUGUAAUGUUUACUUCUUAAUCUGUGUAAAAUUAAUUUUCAGUGAAAUUUUUAAUUAAUUAAAUUUUUACCUUUAAGUUUUUAUUAACUGAUCCACAAAUAGCAUAUCUUAUGUAAUACAGCAUUAUUUCAAAAAUACUAAAGGAUACUUACUCAGUUGUAGUAUCCAGACUUCAUCUAUGAAUACAUAAAGAUGUACAUAUCUGAGGGCAUAUUUCUCAAAGAAACCAUACCACUUUCACUGAAAAUAAAUAUCAUGUUUAAGAACCAACCUGUUAUC
ensembl:lncRNA